rnacentral:rRNA from 1 species
CAUGCAAGUCGAACGGCAGCACGGGUGCUUGCACCUGGUGGCGAGUGGCGAACGGGUGAGUAAUACAUCGGAACGUACCUUAUCGUGGGGGAUAACGCAGCGAAAGCUGUGCUAAUACCGCAUAUGCCCUGAGGGGGAAAGCGGGGGAUCGCAAGACCUCGCGCGAUUAGAGCGGCCGAUGCCUGAUUAGCUUGUUGGUGGGGUAAAAGCCCACCAAGGCGACGAUCAGUAGCUGGUCUGAGAGGACGAUCAGCCACACUGGGACUGAGACACGGCCCAGACUCCUACGGGAGGCAGCAGUGGGGAAUUUUGGACAAUGGGGGCAACCCUGAUCCAGCAAUGCCGCGUGAGUGAAGAAGGCCUUCGGGUUGUAAAGCUCUUUUGUCAGGGAAGAAACACCGGCUCUAACACAGUCCGGGAAUGACGGUACCUGAAGAAUAAGCACCGGCUAACUACGUGCCAGCAGCCGCGGUAAUACGUAGGGUGCGAGCGUUAAUCGGAAUUACUGGGCGUAAAGCGUGCGCAGGCGGUUAUACAAGACAGGCGUGAAAUCCCCGGGCUUAACCUGGGAAUGGCGCCUGUGACUGUAUAGCUAGAGUGUGUCAGAGGGGGGUAGAAUUCCACGUGUAGCAGUGAAAUGCGUAGAUAUGUGGAGGAAUACCAAUGGCGAAGGCAGCCCCCUGGGAUAACACUGACGCUCAUGCACGAAAGCGAGGGGAGCAAACAGGAUUAGAUACCCUGGUAGUCCACGCCCUAAACGAUGCUGACUAGUUGUUCGGGAUUUACAUCCUGAGUAACGUAGCUAACGCGUGAAGUCAGCCGCCUGGGGAGUACGGUCGCAAGAUUAAAACUCAAAGGAAUUGACGGGGACCCGCACAAGCGGUGGAUGAUGUGGAUUAAUUCGAUGCAACGCGAAAACCUUACCUACCCUUGACAUGUCACUAACGAAGUAGAGAUACAUUAGUGCUC